CUUUAGGGGCCUUGGAAGCCACGCUAAGGGUUGGACUUCACUCUGCAGGCACCAGGCAGCCAUUUAAACAUCUUGUCUAGGAUGGGAACAGAUUUACUUUUGGGAAAGAUCUUUGGCCAGCAGUAUGAAGAUGGACGGAUGCGGAGGCUGUGGCAGUGAUGCAGAUGAGGUACCUGAGCCUCUGGAACUUUCUGGAAUGAGCAGAAACAAGCAGCCUGCAUCCUGAGCCACACGCCUCAAUGACACUUCACUUUGAAAGCACCCCUGGCCAUUUGAGCAGAGAGGAGGAUGUGAAAAGAGCCCCGGACACCUAGACAGAUGAGGACACUGAGGCUCAGAGAGUUUAAAUGACUUUCUCAAGGAUACACGAGUGGGAAGCAGUUGUGUUGGAAUAGAAACCAAGGCUUCACUGACAGCAGUACUUGUGCUGUAUAAUCUACCUGCCUCUUAAGCACCCAACAGGCACCUUUGCCCCAGCUGUACUCCACAGUGUCUUCCCAACUCAAGGGCCCCCAAGGCAGGUCAGCUGCACCUGAAACAGCAGAAUGUGGCAGUUCACUCAGGCCCCUGGAGGUGGACCUCAGCACGUGCGCUGCAUUGAUGGGGAAGGACACAGCCCAGAGUGAACAACAUGAGAAAAGUUACAAUAGAGGAAAAAUACAGGACAGACUCUGGUGACAGGGAGCAAACCACCUCAUGUGAAGCCACUGAGAGAAGCAGAUGACGAGCGCUCGCCAGGUGCUGGGGGGACACACGGUGGCUACCCUGGAGAAGCCUGCUGAGGCUUCAGGCAGGCAGAGUGCAGACUGGCGGCUGCAGCCCUGGCCAGAGGUGCAGCGAAGGCAUUUGAGAGCAGGCCGCCCACAGGAUGUUGGAAACCACAGGGACCAGGCUUUGCCUUGCGGGCGGCAGCUGUGGUGAAGGUGAUGCACUGGGUGUCCAGGAAGUCCAGCAGCUUCCCCGUGGCCACAUGGAUGCCUUGAUGCUUCAGCUCGGCCUGUAGCUCUGCCAGCUCCAAGGGCUGGUACAGCAGGACCUUGCGGUAGAGGGCUGGCUUGGAGCAGAUAUAAUGCCUCACGGCCUCCUCUGUGGCCGCUACCUGGAUGGCCGCCUGUGAAGCACUGACACCCUCCUCGUCCUCCUCAUCUUCUCCUGCAGACUCCAAGGCCGCUCCAAAGUCACAGGAAGAACUGAAAAGAACCAGACAAUAACACCUAGCAACACCCCUUCUUUCCGGCCUCCACCCCGAGACCAGGAGCCUCUUUGAGGGAAGGAGUGUGUUUCUUUGUCCCCUGCGGAGCCCGGCACAUGGACGACCCCCAGGGCAGUAGGAAGCCCCAGGCUGCUGUGUCCCUGGCACUCUAGCUGCAGGCCUGAGCGGGAUUGCACCCUCAGCCAGAAUCUAAUGCCGAGGGCAGCUGUGCUAGGCUGGCCCUGCUUGUGAGAGAGGAUGUGGCCCUGUCCUUCCAUCUGGUUACCUUUGUGAGCUGCAGGAGCUGUCACUGCUGUCUACAGAGGUGGCCAUGGAUUCCUGGGAGGCCGGUAGCUGGGUGUCACCAUCAGGGCCUGGAGGGCCCUCCUUGGCUGGUGACGUGCUCAGGGCAGGGACCCUUCCACCAGGCUGUGUCUUUUGAUGUUGGGGGCCCUUGGUCUUAGCAGGUCCCUUGGACCUUUGGGGAACGGAGCCAGAAGUGGCCUCCAGCUGGGUGCGGCCAGCUGCCCUUGAAGGCUUAGAGGUCUUGGUGGUGUAAGUCUGGCUGCAAGGAGCCUCCAAGGGCACCUGUGAGGACUGGCUCUCUUCCUCAGAGUCUGACUCCAGUAUCUGGUGAGUGUACUGGAAUAUCUCCUUCAGUUUCAGGACCAUUUGGCGUUUGGGCAGAGGGCGGACCCCAAACCUGAAUGGGAAAACAGAUGAACGUCAGCAAAGAGCAAACAGCACGAGGGCCCUGGAUUUGCCUCUUCUGACCCUGAUAGUGUCACUUAGAGAAGUGCUGCCCUCGCUCCAGGACAGCAGGGAUGUCCACCCUUCACUGUUUGACUCUGGAGUCACAUCUUCCCAUUGGAAAGCAUCACACAGCACGCGGUGAGGGCCACGGGCUUAUGUGGUGCUGAUGCUGUGAAGAGCUCGAAAGCAGGUAGGCAGUUGCCAGGGGCUGGGGUGAAGGGGCAGUGGGGCGACUGCUAAUGGGAUGGGAUUUAUUUUGGGGUGAUGAAAACAUCCUGGAAUUAGACAGUUGUAGAAUACUGUACUAAAAAGCCAUUGAAUAGUACAUUUGAAAGGGUGAAUUUUAUGAUAUGUGAAUAACAUCUCAAUAAUGCUGUUAUUAAAAAAAAUCAGUAUUUUAAAGACAACUUAGGGACAACUUAAGUACAUCUGGACUUUGGUUCUUAUCCUGUUUAUGAGCAUGGAGUCCUUUGAGAUGCCAAUGAAAACAACAGGAUCUGUCUUGUGAAAAAUGCACAAGAUUCUUUAUAUCAUUUCAGAGUUUGUGACCCUCAUGAAUCUCCCCUCAGAUUCUGACUAAGGUCCCCUGGUCUCAGGUCUCCUGCAGCGGUUCUCACACACCACCUCGGAACCUGUUAGAAAUGCAAAAUCUUGGUUACACAGCAGACCUCCUGAAGCAGCAGCUCUGGGGUAGAGACCGGCCACGUGUGUUUUAAGAAGCUCUGCAGGCAAUUCUGACGCCCACUCAAGGCUGAAAGCACUGGUUAGUGAUGCCCAGCUGGUCUAAGAUUUUAGGGGGACAUGAAAUAGCAGGACACAGGCAGAUGCUCUGUCCAUAGGCUCUGCUUCCCUGUCACCAGUCACGGCUCAGUGUCGCCUGGUCCCUUCCCAGACUCUCCCUGGAUCAGUCCAGCUGGAGGGGAUAGCGGUGGGGCAGCAGCACCUCAAGGGGCCGACACCAACACCGGGGGCCUUGAUUUUCCCCUGUGACUGAAAUGAGCUGGGAAGUGGGGUCCCUCCACCAGUGGGGCCGAUAAGGCUCACAGCAGACCUCCCACACUCACCCCAUCUGGUCUUUUAAUUGAGAUGAAAUUCACGUAACAAAAUUUUAAAGUGAACAGUAGCACUUAGCACAUUCAGUGUUGUGCAACCACCACAUCUUUCUAGUUCUAAAACAUUUCAUCCCCCAAAGAAAGUUCCAUGCUCGUCACUCCCUGUUCUCCUCCCCCCAAGCCCCUGGUGAUCACUCAUCUACUUUCUGUCUCUAUGGCUUUGUCCAUCUGAAUGUUUCAUAUAAAAGGAAUCAUAUAAUACGUGGUGGCCUUUUGUGUCUGGCUUCUUUCACUGAGCAGCAUGUUUUCAAGGUUCAUUCUGCUGUAUCUGUGUCAGUGCUUUAUUCCUUCAUAUGGCUGAAUAAUAUUCCACUGUAUGUAUGUAUGGACCACAUUUCUUUAUCCACUUAUCAGCUGAUGGACAUUUGGGUUGUUUCCACCUUUUGGCUGUUGUGAAUAUUGCUGCUGUGAACAUUUGUAUACAGGAGUCCUGACCUCAAAACCUUUGAAUGUAUACGUGGGAGUGGAAUUGCCUGGUGGUAAUGGCAAUUCUGUGUUUGACUACUUGAGGAACCACACGUUUGCUCUUAAGGUGCACCUGAGGUGCCUAUCACAGCCUCUCGGGAGGUGCUGGUCCACUAUUCUGGAGCGGAGCCACAGACAGGGAUCUUGAACAAGUACCCAGGCGAGCCACAGGAUCCAGGCAGGUUUAGGAAGCCCUGACUUACUGGCUAAGGAGUAUAUGUUUGACAGCAGGCCGAUCCUCCCCAACCGUGGAGUGGGGUCAGGCAGGCAAGGGGAGGGCUGGCCACGGGUCAGCAGGCCCUUUAGUAUCACUGCCCCGCGCUGUCAUUACGACCCUCCACGCCCCUUAGUGUAAAACAGUGUAAAAGACAACACCCUCCCAUUACUCACUUGG